rnacentral:rRNA from 1 species
CACGUAGGGCGCAAGCGUUGUCCGGAAUUAUUGGGCGUAAAGAGCUCGUAGGCGGUUUGUUGCGUCGGCUGUGAAAUCCCGAGGCUCAACCUCGGGUCUGCAGUCGAUACGAGCAAACUAGAGUGUUGCAGGGGAGACUGGAAUUCCUGGUGUAGCGGUGAAAUGCGCAGAUAUCAGGAGGAACACCGAUGGCGAAGGCAGCUCACUGGGACGGUACUGACGCUGAGACGCGAAAGCGUGGGGAGCAAACAGG